GUGGGGAAUAUUGGACAAUGGGCGCAAGCCUGAUCCAGCAAUGCCGCGUGUGUGAAGAAGGCCUUCGGGUUGUAAAGCACUUUUGUUAGGGAGGAAAGUCUGGUAGCUAAUAACUGCGAGAUAUGACGUUACCUAAAGAAUCAGCACCGGCUAACUCUGUGCCAGCAGCCGCGGUAAUACAGAGGGUGCAAGCGUUAAUCGGAAUUACUGGGCGUAAAGGGUCUGUAGGCGGAUUAUUAAGUCGGAUGUGAAAUCCCCGGGCUCAACCGGGGAACGGCAAUCGAUACUGGUAGUCUAGAGUGUGCAAGAGGAUGGGGGAAUUCCUGGUGUAGCAGUGAAAUGCGUAGAGAUCAGGAGGAACAUCAAUGGCGAAGGCGCCUUUCUGGGGCAACACUGACGCUGAGAGACGAAAGCGUGGGGAGCAAACAGGAUUAGAAACCCUGGUAGUCC
rnacentral:rRNA from 1 species